rnacentral:rRNA from 1 species
GAUGAACGCUGGCGGCGUGCCUAAUACAUGCAAGUCGAGCGAACAGACGAGGAGCUUGCUCCUCUGACGUUAGCGGCGGACGGGUGAGUAACACGUGGAUAACCUACCUAUAAGACUGGGAUAACUUCGGGAAACCGGAGCUAAUACCGGAUAAUAUAUUGAACCGCAUGGUUCAAUAGUGAAAGACGGUUUUGCUGUCACUUAUAGAUGGAUCCGCGCCGCAUUAGCUAGUUGGUAAGGUAACGGCUUACCAAGGCAACGAUGCGUAGCCGACCUGAGAGGGUGAUCGGCCACACUGGAACUGAAACACGGUCCAGACUCCUACGGGAGGCAGCAGUGGGGAAUCUUCCGCAAUAGGCGAAAGCCUGGCGGGACAACGCCGCGUGAGUGAUGAAGGUCUUCGGAUCUUAAAACUCUGUUAUUAGGGAAGAACAAAUGUGUAAGUAACUAUGCACGUCUUGACGGUACCUAAUCAGAAAGCCACGGCUAACUACGUG